rnacentral:tRNA from 1 species
GGCCGCGUGGUCGAGAGGUCAGGCGCUCGAUUGUCUAUCGAGACGAUGCGGGUUCGAGUCCUGCCGUGGCCGCCA